GCAGUCGUGGCCGAGUGGUUAAGGCGAUAGACUAGAAAUCCAUUGGAGUCUCUCCGCACAGGUUCAAAUCCUGUCGACUGCG
rfam:Ixodes scapularis strain Wikel colony gcontig_1108379529024, whole genome shotgun sequence.